UACAGAGGGGGCAAGCGUUGUUCGGAAUUACUGGGCGUAAAGGGCGCGUAGGCGGCCUGUUAAGUCGAACGUGAAAUCCCUGGGCUCAACCCAGGAACUGCGUCCGAUACUGGCAGGCUUGAAUCCGGGAGAGGGAUGUGGAAUUCCAGGUGUAGCGGUGAAAUGCGUAGAUAUCGGGAGGAACACCAGUGGCGAAGGCGGCUUUCUGGCCUGUUCUUGACGCUGAGGCGCGAAAGCUAGGGGAGCGAACGGG
rnacentral:rRNA from 1 species